rnacentral:lncRNA from 1 species
AUGGCAGCAGCACCGUUGGGAUGGGGUGAACCCGAUCACGGGGUGAACCCACACUACGCUGUACGAUCUCUGUGUCCCCUGCUCCUGUCCCAGCGCUGCACCCCAGCGGGACGCCCGCCCUGCAGCAGCAGCAGACCCGUCACAGUGCCACAACCCCGUCCCCGUUCUCCUCCCCCCCGUCCCCGCUCAGCCCUCCGCCCCCAUCCCCGUUGGGAUGCCGCCGCCGCCGAGCAGCGGUUGCCAUGGUUACGGCCAUGCAAGUCUGGGCGAAAUGCAUCUGCGGUGCAGCGCGCGGGUGGGGGCGGGGAGGACCCCGCAGCCCCCGGCACCGCCGCGGCCCCCACCCGACACCCGACCCCGACCCGCGGCCGCUGGCCCCAUCCCCGCAUCUUUGUUCGGAGCCGUGGCGGUGGGCGCGGGGGGCGCCGGCAGAUCGAGCGCCCCGAUGGGCUCCGAGCACCCCGUCUCCCCCCCCCGCCCCACACCGGGGUCUCCGGACUCGCGGGCCCACAGGCAGAGCCCGACCCGUGGCUCCGGGAACGCUAUCGGUUCUGCUCUGUGGCGGAGGGGAAUUCUGCUCCUGGCAAUGAAGCAAUCCAGGAGGGGACGGCGGGAGAUCGGGGAAGGAGGGGAUUUCUGAUGGAAAGUUGCGGACGAUCCCGGCUGCCCGUGUGUUUUCCCACCGCGCUCCUCCCGCAGCUGCCCAGAGGAUCGAGCUCCCGGCCCCCCCAGUGCUGCUGCGCCGGGAAUUGCACCCAGGGCUGCACCAAGAAAUGCACCGACAGCCACAUCACAGCGCUGCAGCUGCCCGUCCCUCGCUGCAAGCAGCCCCGCAGCCCCACAUCUCGCAGCCCCGCAGCCCCGCAGCCCCGCAGCCCCGCAGCCCUUCCCCCACGCCUCCCUGGCCUCUCUCUGCCCGGCCGUCAGAUGUUGCUGAAAGGGAACAAUGCGACGUAUUGUCUGUCCCUGCUCGCAGGCAUCAAAACCCAGCAGCGCAACAAAAAGACACAUUGA